UAAAGGGUCCGUAGGCGGUUUGGUAAGUCAGUGGUGAAAGCCCAUCGCUUAACGAUGGAACGGCCAUUGAUACUGCCAGACUUGAAUUACUAGGAAGUAACUAGAAUAUGUAGUGUAGCGGUGAAAUGCUUAGAUAUUACAUGGAAUACCAAUUGCGAAGGCAGGUUACUACUAGUGGAUUGACGCUGAUGGACGAAAGCGUGGGGAGCGAACAGGAUUAGAUACCCUGU
rnacentral:rRNA from 1 species